rnacentral:snRNA from 1 species
AACUCUAAGGUAGUGGCCACGACAUCUGUCACUCCACUGAUUGCCAGGGUUGAUUUGGCUUGAUAUGGCUGGCUAAGCAGGUCUCCCUUUCCUCCCUCACCAGUCCAUGAGCAGUCUCUCAGGAAGCUGAGGUCUCAGUUGAAGAAGACAACAUUUCCCCAUAGAAGAGGAUCAUUCUUGAGUCAAGGGUAUAGGAGUAGGUAUACUCCCUGCUAGACUCUUCUCCAAACAAACUCUUUAGAACAAGUUUUUUUUGUUGUUGUUGUU